GACAGAGGGUGCAAACGUUGUUCGGAAUUACUGGGCGUAAAGCGCGUGUAGGCUGCUCGGAAAGUCGGAUGUGAAAGCCCUGGGCUUAACCUAGGAAGUGCAUUCGAAACUUCCGAGCUGGAGUUCUGGAGAGGAAGGCGGAAUUCUCGGUGUAGAGGUGAAAUUCGUAGAUAUCGUAAGGAAGACCAGUGGCGAAGGCGGGUCUCUGGACAGUUCCUGACGCUGAGGCACGAAGGCCAGGGGAGCAAACGGG
rnacentral:rRNA from 1 species